CCUACGGGAGGCAGCAGUGGGGAAUAUUGCACAAUGGGGGAAACCCUGAUGCAGCGACGCCGCGUGAGUGAAGAAGGUAUUCGGUAUGUAAAGCUCUAUCAGCAGGGAAGAAAAUGACGGUACCUGAGUAAGAAGCCCCGGCUAACUACGUGCCAGCAGCCGCGGUAAUACGUAGGGGGCAAGCGUUAUCCGGAUUUACUGGGGGUAAAGGGAGCGUAGACGGCAGUGCAAGUCUGGAGUGAAAGGCGGGGGCUCAACCCCCGGACUGCUGUGGAAACUGUACGGCUGGAGUGCAGGAGAGGUAAGUGGAAUUCCUAGUGUAGCGGUGAAAUGCGUAGAUAUUAGGAGGAACACCAGUGGCGAAGGCGGCUUACUGGACUGUAACUGACGUUGAGGCUCGAAAGCGUGGGGAGCAAACAGGAUUAGAUACCCUAGUAGUC
rnacentral:rRNA from 1 species